GCCCGGCUAGCUCAAUCGGUAGAGCGUGUGACUCUUAUAAGCCAGUUUUAUACUAGUUCGCCAUCACAAGGCUGCGGGUUCGAGCCCCGCGUUGGGCU
rfam:Microsporum canis CBS 113480 supercont1.1 genomic scaffold, whole genome shotgun sequence.